GACUUUUAACGAUCACUUCUUAACGAAGGGACAUGAAUCCGGUCGUUAUAAAUAUAUUUAUAGCGACAAACUUUUUUUCCGGUCAUUAAAGCCAAUUUUUAGCUUAACAUUAACAAGGGGAUAAUAUUCCGUCUUUAAAACACAUAAUAACCGGUCGUUGAAACUAUAAUCAAUAAAAAAUAGGCGCUACUUUUUCCCUCUUUUUCCUUUUCCCCCAACCCAGCCCCCCUCUCUCUCAAAAAUAAAACAUUAUGCAUCGAUGAAAACACACGCACGGUUCCCGAAGAAUAAAAUAACUCCAACAUGGUCCACCAGCAACUGCUAUCAAAAGUAAGUUCUAGGAGAAGCAAAAUUGUUACAGUACGUUUAUGGGAGAAGAAAAAUUGUUCGUCACCUCUGUCGGCAUCAAUUGUUCAUCUUAGAGCUCCUUCUCAAGAACCCUAGAGGAAUAAAGCACAAAAACAGUGAUUCUGAUGGUGGAAGCUUAACUGUGAUUUGCUUUUUGUUGGGUGCUAUCAUAUAAAGUUUUUUGUCUUCAAUGAAGCGAGCGCUUUGCUUCUUGCAUCACACUUUAAGCGAAGCGGGUCCUUGUCUCUGUUUUCUGAUUCGCGCUUUCAAAAGCACUGAUCAUAUAAAGGUAAAAGGCUAGCAUGUUGUACGAAAGGUUCAACCUCGUGAUUAUUUUGACGUGCAAAAAAAGGAUGAUGAGUUUGAGGAGUUAAAUAAUAAGAAUAUGAUGCUUUAUUCUGAAUGUGUAUCUAUGAGUCUGAUUGUGCUUCUGACUAUUUGUACAGAUGGAAUUUACUUAGUGUUAGAUUGUUUCUCUGUAUAGUGUGUUUGUGUUCCUGUAUAUUCUCUGUAAUAGUCAUUGUAUAGUUCUUGAACUUGCUAAACUUCACCAAGUCUCUUUAAUAGUCAUUGUAUGGUUCUUGGGUUAGCUUAAACAUAUUCGACUUCUUUUUGUAUUAGGUUGACAUGAAUCCAUCAAAAUUUCAUAAGCCUGAAACCAUCAACUUCAAAGACUAUUAAGCAUGCAUACAUACCAGCUGGUGCCUUAGCAAGGGGACGAGGACAAAGCAUAAGAGCUUUGGGCUCCAUUAGAUUAAGAGCCUGUUUGGAUUGGCUUAUUUUAGGUGCUUUUAAGCCAAAAUAUAUAUUUGUAGUGUUUGGGUAAAAUAAAAAAGUGCUUUUAAGCACUUGUUUUUAAGCUAAAAUGACCAAAUUUAGCCAAAGCCAUAAGCUAGAAUUCCUAACUUAUGGAUUUGGCUUAUAAGUCAAAAGUCAUAAGUCCAUCAAACGGGCUCUAAGUGUUGAUAGAUAACUCCAAUUGGCAAAAGUAAAAUAAUAAAGCAGUAGCUUUUUGUCGAAUGAGCUAGUACAGAAUAAUAGCCUUGUGCCCCCUGGUUUUGAUCCAAUGGAAGAUGAUGUUCCCCUCGCUCAAGAAGCUGAAGUGAUGCAAGACACUCAGAGAAGUGAAAUAAGUAUUUUAUUUUCUUAAGUUGUAUUUUUUUUGUUAGUGGACGCGAGCGAUUUUUAUGUUUGACAUUAUAAACUGAAAUUUGCAGGUCCAUGUGAAUAUGAAAAGGCAAAAAAAAGUGAGGAAAGAAGAGGUGUAAAAAUGUUGCAGGACUCAAAGCUGGAGAGAAGUUGAGUUAUUUUUUACCAGCAUCGACUUGUUGGGAAGCAUCACCGCUCAUUUACGAGAUAAUUAGGUGUUAGUUCAUGAUUGUAAUAUGUGCCCAUUGCAGGUACACUCUUGGGCGGAUAUCGAGGAAGAGUAGUUGGAAUAUAUGUGGGAAGCUACAACUAUAAGUUAAGCAUUACUUUCUUGAUUUAUUUUUCAAGCUUGAUGCAUGUCAACUAACUUGUAUGUGUUCUUUUGCGUGCCAUAAUAUUUACGCUCGAUGUAUUUAUGAACACUCCAUUAUUUUGAACUCUUUUUGGUUUUAACUUAUUGGUUUUGCUGUUGGUUGUAAACAGUCCCUGCAAGACACAAAUCUCAGUUUCAUAAAAUCUACCACAACUCUAUUAGUCACACAUAGAACUAGAAUAGUUAUCAAGUCCUUGCUAUGAGUUUCAAGAAUCAAGAUCCUCUUCGUUUCCUAGAAAUAAUACCAUAGAUUUUGCAGGAUUAAUUUUUUGGUGUCAAUCCACUUAGCCUAUUUAAAUAAGGCUCUCUCAAAAGAAACCAUAUGGUUCAUUUCUUUAUAGUGUUGCCCUCCUAUUUCAAUAUUAUCUGCCAAACAAAAGUGACAAAAUGAUGUUGUGAUGUUUUUAAUUUUGAAUUGUACUGUGCAAAAUGAAAAUAAGCAAGUAAUCAGAGCUAACGGCUGAGUGGCUCUCAUUGUUAUUUAGAGAACUCACUUUAUCGCUUAAAUAGCAUGGAAGCUAGGGGAAGCGAGUGGGGCCGCCCCAGAAGGCUGAGGGUGACAAAGGGUAGCAUGAAGCGACUGCUUCUGUUCAAGAGGCAGAAGCGACUGAAACAUGCACUUCAUUUAUUUUCACAAAAAAAAAAAAAAAUCGACUUUAAAGAGAAAAAGAUGCAACUUUUUUAUCUAGUUAACUGCUCUUUGCCUUGGUCUGGGGUUUGCAAGUCACGACUGAUUUAUCUUCUUUGAUGCUCUCUGCCUCCUCUGUUAUCGCUGCUUCUUUCUCUUCUUCUUUUCUCUGAUCUGAUAUCACUGCUACUGCUGCAGCUUUAAUUUUUUUCGUUUCUCCUUUUCUGUUAGCUAUUGCUGCUACUGCAGAUACUUUUUUCUUUCUAUUCUUCUCUUAUACUGUUGUGUUCAUCUGCUUCUUCGGACUUCAGCUAUUGUUUUAUUUAUUUUUUUGUCAUUCUUUUUUCUCUUUAUUAAUUUAAUUGAUUUAUCUAAUGUGUUUUUUGUUUUUCUAUUUGCUCUCUAUUUUUCUAUUUGCUCUCUAUUUUUCCAGUAGGCAAUAGCUCUAUUGUAGACUUUAAUUUAGUUUCUCUUUGCUUCAUUUAUUUGCAACUAACCAAUAUAAUGCAUGCACUCAAACGCUCCUGCUGCAACAAACAUGGUCGUUAACGAAUUUUGAUCGUGAUAACUUGUUCAUCUCAAUGUUGAUGUAUGAAAAAUCACUCAUUGCUCUUAGAGCCCUACUUAGAGGUACUUCUGUAGUUCAAGCCAGAAAUUGAGGGUAAAAAACUAGUUAUGCCUUUUUUUUUUUUUUUUUUUUUUUUUUUUUUUGGUGUUCUUAUAUUUAAGGGAGAGAUGAUUGACUGACUUCUCCUCUUUACAAGAAUGAGAUUAAGAAUUUGAAGUCGAUCCUAUCCUUGAAGAAAGUGCAGAGCAAAAUUGAAGUACAAAAAGUUUUUAUUUUGUUAGUGGUGGUUUAAAGAUGAUGUCUUAUGCACACAUGCUACUUUUUUCUAUUUUAGGAGUAAUGAAAAAUGAUGUCAUGCAAUUUGGAUGUGUAUAUUUUUUGGUAAUGUGAUACUUUAGUUCUUUGUAUUGACGAAUAACAUUGAUGUUUUAAUGAAUAUUGAUUAUUUGGUUUA